rnacentral:rRNA from 1 species
AACGAACGCUGGCGGCAGGCUUAACACAUGCAAGUCGAGCGCCCCGCAAGGGGAGCGGCAGACGGGUGAGUAACGCGUGGGAAUCUACCCAUCUCUACGGAAUAACGCAUGGAAACGUGUACUAAUACCGUAUACGUCCUUCGGGAGAAAGAUUUAUCGGAGAUGGAUGAGCCCGCGUUGGAUUAGCUAGUUGGUGGGGUAAAGGCCUACCAAGGCGACGAUCCAUAGCUGGUCUGAGAGGAUGAUCAGCCACACUGAGACUGAGACACGGCCCAGACUCCUACGGGAGGCAGCAGUGGGGAAUAUUGGACAAUGGGCGCAAGCCUGAUCCAGCCAUGCCGCGUGAGUGAUGAAGGCCCUAGGGUUGUAAAGCUCUUUCACCGGUGAAGAUAAUGACGGUAACCGGAGAAGAAGCCCCGGCUAACUUCGUGCCAGCCGCCGCAGUAAUAC